rnacentral:rRNA from 1 species
UUGAACGCUGGCGGCAUGCCUUACACAUGCAAGUCGAACGGUAACAGGUCUUCGGAUGCUGACGAGUGGCGAACGGGUGAGUAAUACAUCGGAACGUGCCCGAUCGUGGGGGAUAACGCAGCGAAAGCUGUGCUAAUACCGCAUACGCCCUGAGGGGGAAAGCGGGGGACCUUCGGGCCUCGCGCGAUUGGAGCGGCUGAUGUCGGAUUAGCUGGUUGGUGGGGUAAAGGCCUACCAAGGCGACGAUCCGUAGCUGGUCUGAGAGGAUGAUCAGCCACACUGGGACUGAGACACGGCCCAGACUCCUACGGGAGGCAGCAGUGGGGAAUUUUGGACAAUGGGCGCAAGCCUGAUCCAGCCAUGCCGCGUGAGUGAAGAAGGCCUUCGGGUUGUAAAGCUCUUUCAGGAGGGAAGAAACGGUUGCGGCUAAUACCCGCGACUAAUGACGGUACCUUCAGAAGAAGCACCGGCUAACUACGU